CGCCAGCCAAUUGCUGCGCGCUAUACGCCGCGCCCUGAGCGCUCGGAGACUGGCAGCCUUCCGGCCCCUGGACGAAGAGGCGCGACUUUGGGGGAUCCUGAGCGCGUGGGCGCCUGCGGUGUGCCUAGAGAUGCCCCACAGAGGUAUCUGUAGUGGACGGAAGGAGAGGAGUCCGAGUCCGAAGCUAACCGCGGCCAAACUGUGUAUACCAACUUACACCACAGUGUCUGGAAAUACUACAUUAAUGAUAUUUAGAUGAUUGUACCUGUAUUU